rnacentral:rRNA from 1 species
AUUGAACGCUGGCGGCAGGCCUAACACAUGCAAGUCGAGCGGGAACUUCGGUUCUAGCGGCGGACGGGUGAGUAAUGCGUAGGAAGCUACCCGACAGAGGGGGAUACCAGUUGGAAACGACUGUUAAUACCGCAUAAUGUCUACGGACCAAAGUGUGGGACCUUCGGGCCACAUGCUGUCGGAUGCGCCUACGUGGGAUUAGCUAGUUGGUGAGGUAAUGGCUCACCAAGGCGACGAUCCCUAGCUGGUUUGAGAGGAUGAUCAGCCACACUGGAACUGAGACAAGGUCCAGACUCCUACGGGAGGCAGCAGUGGGGAAUAUUGGACAAUGGGCGCAAGCCUGAUCCAGCCAUGCCGCGUGUGUGAAGAAGGCCUUCGGGUUGUAAAGCACUUUCAGUAGGGAGGAAGGAGUUGUCGUUAAUAGCUGCAACUUUUGACGUUACCUACAGAAGAAGCACCGGCUAACUCUGUGCCAGCAGCCGCCGCCGUAA